GUCCGAGGGAUCUCACGCCGGAGAUGCUAAAGUCCAUUCACGAUGCCGAUAAGCCUGCUCCGAGAGGCAAAAAGGCAGAUAAAGGCAAACANAGAUGCUAAAGUCCAUUCACGAUGCCGAUAAGCCUGCUCCGAGAGGCAAAAAGGUAGAUAAAGGCAAACAAGUGGCAAAAGGGGCUAAAGGCCCUUCUCCUAAAAAGAGGAAAUCUACCAAAGCUGCUCAGUCACCGCAACAGAAUAGGCGAAAGACUCAACCCAAGCGAAAGCUCAUUAUCGCUUCCUCUUCCAGUGAGUCGGAGGGUGGGAGUUCGGAUUCGGACGACUCUCCAAGAGGCAACACACCUCCAAGAGGCGACACCCCACCUAGAUCACCUACCCCUGAAAUGGAAAUCCAUACCUCUCCAAUUCCCUCUCCUACUCAAACAAUUCCUACUUCCAUUCCCACCAUAAACCCCUUUACUCACAUACCAAAAACCUCUUUCCCAAUGCCACCACCCAUCUUCACCGAUGCAACAACAACAUCUACAGCAAAGGUUACAACCAACGUAUCUGAUACGGGGGUUCAUACCGAUGCAACCAACCUCCACCAGCAACCG
rnacentral:lncRNA from 1 species